rnacentral:rRNA from 1 species
GACGAACGCUGGCGGCGUGCUUAACACAUGCAAGUCGAGCGGAAAGGCCCUGCUUUUGUGGGGUGCUCGAGUGGCGAACGGGUGAGUAACACGUGAGUAACCUGCCCUUGACUUUGGGAUAACUUCAGGAAACUGGGGCUAAUACCGGAUAGGAGCUCCUGCUGCAUGGUGGGGGUUGGAAAGUUUCGGCGGUUGGGGAUGGACUCGCGGCUUAUCAGCUUGUUGGUGGGGUAGUGGCUUACCAAGGCUUUGACGGGUAGCCGGCCUGAGAGGGUGACCGGCCACAUUGGGACUGAGAUACGGCCCAGACUCCUACGGGAGGCAGCAGUGGGGAAUAUUGCACAAUGGGCGGAGGCCUGAUGCAGCAACGCCGCGUGCGGGAUGACGGCCUUCGGGUUGUAAACCGCUUUCGCCUGUGACGAAGCGUGAGUGACGGUAAUGGGUAAAGAAGCACCGGCUAACUACGUG